AACGAACGCUGGCGGCAUGCCUAACACAUGCAAGUCGAACGAGACCUUCGGGUCUAGUGGCGCACGGGUGCGUAACGCGUGGGAACCUGCCCUUAGGUUCGGAAUAACUCCCCGAAAGGGGUGCUAAUACCGGAUAAUGCCUUCGGACCAAAGAUUUAUCGCCUUUGGAUGGGCCCGCGUUUGAUUAGCUAGUUGGUAGGGUAAAGGCCUACCAAGGCGACGAUCCAUAGCUGGUCUGAGAGGAUGAUCAGCCACACUGGGACUGAGACACGGCCCAGACUCCUACGGGAGGCAGCAGUGGGGAAUAUUGGACAAUGGGCGAAAGCCUGAUCCAGCAAUGCCGCGUGAGUGAUGAAGGCCUUAGGGUUGUAAAGCUCUUUUACCCGGGAUGAUAAUGACGGUACCGGGAGAAUAAGCUCCGGCUAACUCCGUG
rnacentral:rRNA from 1 species